CCUAAGGGGGAUCAGAGAAAAUAAGGACGUGUAUAGAGGAGUCAUAGCCUAUAACCGAAAAUCAUUUUAUCCCCGAGUUUCAGACCUCACCUCACGAAGCUCGGGACUGCACGAGUAAAUCUGUCCUCUCUUCAUCAUCAAAUUCCGUUCUUCUCCAACCUGAGAAAGGUUAGAAAAUCACCAAACGGAUAUGAAAUACGACCAGGAUUCAAUAAAAAAGAGAAUGAAAAAAAUUAAGUCCUACAAAACGAAUUACCAUUUCCGCGUUUACUUUCUUCAUUCCCCG
rnacentral:misc_RNA from 1 species